rnacentral:tRNA from 1 species
GGUUAUGGCACAGUGGUAGAGCACUCACUUGACAUGUGCAGGGUGCUGGGUUCGAUCCUCAGCACCA